rnacentral:rRNA from 1 species
GAUGAACGCUGGCGGCGUGCCUAAUACAUGCAAGUCGAGCGAACGGACGAGAAGCUUGCUUUUCUGAUGUUAGCGGCGGACGGGUGAGUAACACGUGGAUAACCUACCUAUAAGACUGGGAUAACUUCGGGAAACCGGAGCUAAUACCGGAUAAUAUUUUGAACCGCAUGGUUCAAAAGUGAAAGACGGUCUUGCUGUCACUUAUAGAUGGAUCCGCGCUGCAUUAGCUAGUUGGUAAGGUAACGGCUUACCAAGGCAACGAUGCACAGCCGACCUGAGAGGGUGAUCGGCCACACUGGAACUGAGACACGGUCCAGACUCCUACGGGAGGCAGCAGUAGGGAAUCUUCCGCAAUGGGCGAAAGCCUGACGGAGCAACGCCGCGUGAGUGAUGAAGGUCCUCGGAUCGUAAAACUCUGUUAUUAGGGAAGAACAUAUGUGUAAGUAACUGUGCACAUCUUGACGGUACCUAAUCAGAAAGCCACGGCUAACUACGUG